UACGUAGGGUGCAAGCGUUAAUCGGAAUUACUGGGCGUAAAGCGUACGCAGGCGGUUAUGUAAGACAGAUGUGAAAUGCCCGGGCUUAACCUGGGAACUGCAUUUGUGACUGCAUGGCUAGAGUUGGCAGAGGGGGGGGUAGAAUUCCACGUGUAGCAGUGAAAUGCGUAGAUAUGUGGAGGAACACCGAUGGCGAAGGCAGCCCCCUGGGUCAAGACUGACGCUCAUGCACGAAAGCGUGGGAGCAAA
rnacentral:rRNA from 1 species